AAUUGUUGCGAUUAAAACGCUCGUAGUUGGAUAUCUGUGAGCGGGUUUCGGUCCUUCCCAGUGAAGAUUACACGGAACUCUGCUCGCAUUCGUUCAGGGAGGGUGGAUGCACUUCACUGUGUGACCACAUGAUCUGAAUUUUUACUUUGAGGAAAUGAGAGUGUUCCAAGCAGGCAAUCGCCGUGAAUAUGAUAGCAUGGAAUAAUAGCACAGGACUCUUGGUUCAAUGCUGUUGGUUUGUUGGACUAGAGUAAUCACAAUAAAGAUAGUUGGGGGUAUUCGUAUUUAACUGUCAGAGGUGAAAUUCUUGGAUUUUUUAAAGACGAACAAUUGCGAAGGCAUCUACCCAGGAUGUUUUUGUUGAUCAAGAACGAAAGUUAGGGGAUCGAAGACGAUCAGAUACCGUCCUAGUCUUAACCUUAAACUAUGCCGGCUGGAGAUUGGAGUCGUCAGAUUUGUGACGUCUUCAGCAUCCUAUGAGAAAUCUAAGUCUUUGGGUUCCGGGGGGAGUAUGAUCGCAAGGCUGAAACUUAAAGGAAUUGACGG
rnacentral:rRNA from 1 species